rnacentral:rRNA from 1 species
GACGUAGGGCGCGAGCGUUUUCCGGAUUUAUUGGGCGUAAAGAGCUCGUAGGCGGCUUGUUGCGUCAGCUGUGAAAACCCGCAGCUCAACUGUGGGCUUGCAGCUGAUACGGGCAGGCUUGAGUUCGGUAGGGGAGACUGGAAUUCCUGGUGUAGCGGUGAAAUGCGCAGAUAUCGGGAGGAACACCAAUUGCGAAGGCAGCUCGCUGGGACGGUACUGACGCUGAGGCGCGAAAGCGUGGGGAGCAAACAGG